rnacentral:rRNA from 1 species
UACGGGGGGAGCAAGCGUUGUUCGGAUUUACUGGGCGUAAAGAGCGCGCAGGCGGUCGUUCAAGUCGCGUGUGAAAGCCCCCGGCUCAACUGGGGAGGGUCACGCGAUACUGAUCGACUCGAAGGCAGGAGAGGGUAGUGGAAUUCCCGGUGUAGUGGUGAAAUGCGUAGAUAUCGGGAGGAACACCAGUGGCGAAGGCGACUACCUGGCCUGUUCUUGACGCUGAGGCGCGAAAGCUAGGGGAGCAAACGGGG